CCUACGGGAGGCAGCAGUGAGGAAUAUUGGUCAAUGGGCGCGAGUCUGAACCAGCCAAGUAGCGUGAAGGAUGACUGCCCUACGGGUUGUAAACUUCUUUUAUAAAGGAAUAAAGUGAGGCACGUGUGCCUUUUUGCAUGUACUUUAUGAAUAAGGAUCGGCUAACUCCGUGCCAGCAGCCGCGGUAAUACGGAGGAUUCGAGCGUUAUCCGGAUUUAUUGGGUUUAAAGGGUGCGCAGGUGGGCCUUUAAGGCAGCUGUGAAAUGUCGGGGCUCAACCCCGGAAGAGCGGUGGAUACUGGGGGCCUUGAGUACAGUUGAGGUAGGCGGAAUGCGUGGUGUAGCGGUGAAAUGCAUAGAUAUCGCGCAGAACCCCGAGUGCGAAGGCAGCGUA
rnacentral:rRNA from 1 species